GCCCUUUAAAAUAUAAAAGGUGUUGCCUGCCCAAUGAUUAUUAAUAAUAAAAUAUAAAUAAUUUUAAAAAUAAUUUAAAGGACGCGGUAUCUUGACCGUGGUAAUGUAGCAUAAUCAUUCGCCAUUUAAUUGAUGGAUAGUAUGAACGGCUAAACGAGUGUAACACUGUCUCUAAUAAAAUAUUAUAAAAUUAGAAUAUUAGUAAAGAUACUAAUUAUAAUUGUAAGACGAAAAGACCCUAUAGAGCUUAACUAUUAUUCUCACUUAAAAUUUUUAAAGUUAACUUUAAUCAAUGUGGGGAGAGAUAGUUUGGUUGGGGCGACCGCUUUCUAAAUUUAACGAAAGUAAACAAAAUCUAUUAAAAGAUUUACUGUAUAAAAAAUAAUUUUAACAGUUAUAAAAAUAGGUAAUAAUGACCCGUUUAAUAUAAGAACAAAUAUAAACGAUCAAUAAAUAAAAGCUACCUUAGGGAUAACAGGAUAAUUUUAUUUUAGAGUCCUUAUCAAAGAUAAAGUUUGUCACCUCUAUGUUGAAUUAAGAUAUCCUAGUGAUGUAGAAGUCACUAAAGGUAGGUCUGUUCGACCUUUAAAAUCUU
rnacentral:rRNA from 1 species